CUGGUUCACAUCAUAAUGGUUCUUUUGCCAACAGGAGCUGGUAAUCAGGAUGGCAGUGAGGCAGGCACUUGCUUGCAGAAGAACAGGCCUAGUUUUUUAAGAAGCCACAAAAGUGUCUUUGGAUGAUUAGGAUCUAAGGGGCCAACAGCUUUGCAAUAACAGCAUAAAUAUUGUGGGCUGGAUGGACAGGCACCAAAUGGGGACAUUCCAUCCUGCUGUGUGAUGAGAAAGCUGCCACUUUUGAGGCCUUCCAAAACAAAUCAACACUCCAUAUGCCAGAAGGAAAAGCCCAGGAAAGACCUAUUCCAACUGGAGAUGGUGAAUGUCAUUUCUUCAAGAAGCUGAGAUCCAGCUGGUACUGCCAGGUGGAGAGUGAGUUGGGUAGCUGACCUCGGGCAUGGCAGCCUUGGUUUUUGGCCACUUCAUGGGGUGACCUGUUGAGCAAACAGCAGUGGAAUUCUGCAGCUGUGGACCAAGAUGAAUACGAAGGGAGAAUGAAACAAAACUGCUCCGCUUAGGGAACUUGGAAAGGAAAUUGAAAAGGCAAGGCACAGGCUGGAAGAAAAUAUUUGAAAAAGAUUUAUGUGAACUUCUUUCUGGAUUAUACAAAAUAUUUUUAGAUAUUCUUACAACUCUAAAAUAAGAUAACUCCUUAAAAAUCUAAAUUCUACCAAAGGAGAGAUAAAGAUGACGAAUACAUUCAAAGAUGCUGAAAAUCACUUAUUUAUUAUUAGGAAGUUACAAGCUAAAGCAUAAUGAGAUACCACUACAACCUACUAAACUGACUAAAAUUAAUCAGACUAACCAGGUGUUGGCAAGAAACAGGGACACUGAGACUCUCACACUGCUGGAAGGAAUGUAAAAUGCUAAAACUUCUUUGGAAAUGAGUUCAGUAACUUUUUAAACAGUUGAAAAUAGACCUAUCAUGCAAACCAGCAAUCCCACUUCCAGGUAUUUAUACAAGGAAAAUGACAACAUAUGCCCACAUAAAGACUUGUGCACAAAUGACCGUAGCAGCUUUGUGAUAAUUGCUAAAAACUAGAAACUUGUCAAGUGUCCAACAGCUAAGGAAAUAGAGACAAACUACAUAAGUUGCUGAAAAAUCACAGCAAAUAAUUAGCUGAGGAAGAGACUCAAAUCUAUCAGAACUGCUUGACUUUUGAUCCUGAGCUUAUGCGCAUCCAGUGGGCAAGUGAGGGUGCAUGGGUUUGUGAAGACUCCAGCAGUAUGAUUGGGGACACAGGGUCUCCCUAUGUUGCCCAGGCUGGUAUCGAACUCUGUUGCCCAGGCUGGUAUUGAACUCCUGCGCUCAAGUGAUCCUCCUGCCUCAGCCUCCCAAAAUGCUGGGAUUACAG
rnacentral:lncRNA from 10 species